CCACUGGCUGUUCCUUCUAAAUGAAACCAUGUUUGUAGAACAACAAUAAAAGUUAGCGCAGUGUAGUGUUCCGCUGGUUAUGUGCAAAAAGCCUCUGACUGAGGAAUCGUUCAAUUGACUAUUGUCAGUCAAAGAGGCGAAGCAGAAAAAAAAACAACAAAAAAAAACACAUGGGCUUCUAAAAGGCAAGCAAAUCCUCACACAGCAUAUUAGUAUGCCUAGAUAGUUAGCAGGGCGCUAUAGUGCCAGGUAAACAGGUUUGUAUGUCUAGCAAUAUAAU